UCAUGGUAUGAAAAACGUUCUUUAUAUUAUGAGUUAAUUCGUUAAUGAAAACUAAUAUUAUUUAUAUAAAUAUCAGUGCUCGUUAAAGUUCUCCUUACAAAGAAAUUCUUAAUUACUUCAUUCCAGCAUACCGAGAUUAUGAAGAAACUUGUUCCUUUCUGUAAUUAGAAGUAAUUACUAAACAAAUUAGCUUUGAAAUGGAGAAUACGCGGGGUUUAAUUUGACCUAGCAGAAAACAGCGCAUGCACUGACCACGUGCAUGCAAGUGACCACCUGCGGCAGAGAGAUCAUUAUCACAAACUGUAUAUAUAUGCAGGCGUAUAAACGUUCUCGCAUACACGAAUACGGUGUAAUUAUCGUCUGACGGUUUCCAAAGAAAACGAAGCGAAACAUGCCAGCCGGGGAUGUUGUUUUGAACCAGAAAUAGAGGCCACUGUGUUCAGAAACUUACAAAGAGAUUCGAUUUAAUGUAGCUAAGCGUGUGAUCUCAAAAAAGAAUCCAUUUUUUUUGUUGUACAUUUGAUCUACUAACAAACU